CAAAAUCAUAAAAGAGCACAUACUGGAGAGAAGCCAUACUAAUGUAAUCAAUGUGACAAAGCCUUUUCACAACACAGUUAUCUUCAAAUUCAUAGAAGAAGAUAUACAGGAGAGAAACCCUACAAAUGGAAUCAGUGUGACAAAGCCUUUUCCCAACCUUUGUAACCUCCAAUCCGAUGAAGAAUUUAUACUGGAGUGAAAUCUUACAAAUGAAAUGAAUGUGACAAAGCUUUUUCCCAUCAUUAUAAUCUACAAUUCAUAAAGGACAUACUAGAGAGAAACCUUACAAGUGUAAUCAGUUUGUGAAAGUCUUCAAAACAUGGUCAUCUUUAACAGAAUAAAAGAAUACAUACUGGAGGGAAAAGCUACGAAGGAAAUGGAUGUGAGCAACCUUUUUACAACACCAUCAUUUCUGAAUGUUUCUUCUCUUUCAGCCUGAGUUGCCAUCUCAGUCGAACCGUUCAUUGGGAGCUGCAGGCCGGCCGCAACAGUUUGGCGCCCGAACAGGGACCUGGAGAAUGGCAGAAGGGUGCUGAGAAAACGCUGUUGGUGUGGAGCUCCACAGGAAAGGCAAAAGAUCUUCGUAUCAGACCCCGAAGCAAUGAACAGCAGGUCAAUCAACAUUCUCCAGCCGGACCAGUGGAUGUGCAUCCCCGCCCCCCUAGAGCGCAAUGGUGGCAGCUGCUAUCUUCAUUCCCAGGACAUUCCAGCACGUGGUUUUCAGUCUGAGUUGAAAUUUAGGUUUACCAAGAGGGCUAGAAAAGUAGAUAUUUCUAAUAUUAAUAGAGAUUGGUUUUUAUUUUAAUAGACAGGCUUAGUCCCUUAGCUGGCCUCUGGCUUUUUACCCUUGCUGUUACUGCAAGGUGUCCUUAGUUCCUCAGGCUGUGGAAAUAACAGAGAUGAAGAGGAACGACUCCCAGCUCCUAUUUUAGCCACGAAUCGUGGUGUUACUAAUGACAUAAUUCUUGCCUAGGCCUUGCUAAAUCUGAGGUUGAUAAUUCUCCUUUAGGAGCUGCACAGUACUCAGAACUGUGCAUACUGGUUCGUGAUCAUACGAAUACAGUAUGGGUAUCGCUUGGUGCAAAGAACUACUGCAGGGGAAGGUCCAGCUUAACCAUUUCUGAGUUUCCUGUGGGUUAUACCCGGUUUAAAAAGGAGGUUGGUAUCUAAUUUUGGCUAAAAACCAAAAAUAUCUACGGCUCUGCCUCCCCUCCCCAAAAGAUACCAAGAGCCACAGGUGUGGGUCGUGACAGCACCCACGGGAGAAAUGGGGUCAAUGUCCACCCAAGCCAAGGUUAAAAGCCCACUCAUCUACAGAUGAGAAAAUCAUUUGAUCACCUCAGUUAAGCGUUGCCUUAUUUAACUUAAUUAAUAGGGGGGAGAGAGGUUGGAGACCGUACUGUCUUCACUGCCUCCCACCCCAAAAUAAAAAGCCAAUUGGCCUUCUACUACGGAGCCAGUCGUCACCCCCUUCUCCCUGUUUCCCACCUGUCAUCCAAAAAUGCGGAGGAAUAUCAACUCAGUGUUAUUUUUAAUGAAGUGUAUUUCUAAUUUGUUCAGCCAAACUUAGCCAGGGUUCCAACGCCCUACUUAAAAUUCAACUAGGAAGUUACCUAUUCAGUACUAAUUAGCAUUAUAAAGUCAGAGCCUACAGCUCCAGGCUUUUCUGUUAGUUGUUUACUGGGAUAGAAAGGACAGUCUUAGCCAGAUACAGUUUACCAUAAGAAAAGUUAGGGAAUCCCACGGAGACAGGUUUUUUCUUUAGCCCUAGAAUUCAGGCAAAACUAUUGAGCAUAGAUAAAAAAUUUUUUUUUUGCCUCAGGCCAGCUUUUUCUUUUUUUAAAUUUUUUGUUAACAAAAGGGAGGAGAUGUAGUCUCCCCUCCCCCAGCCUGAAACCUGCUUGCUCUGGGGUGGAGCUUCCUGCUCAUUCAUUCUGUCACGUCCACUGCUGGAACCUGCUGCCUUGCUGUUCCAAAGCCAUCACGUGCUCAACCUGCUACUGGACCCCAAGAUUAUUUGGUGGGAAUCGGGUCCCCUCCCCCUUUCUUCAUAACUGAGUGUUGCAACAGUAAAAAUUGAGCUUUGAUCAGAGUGACUUUUGACUUGGCUCCAUUCUUUCUUCCGAGCCCGUCUAGUUCUUCUCUUUCAGCCCCAGUUGCCAUCUCAGUUGAACUGUUCGUUGCGAGCUGCAGGACGGCCACAACAUCCCAUCAUAUGUAGAUUUCCUACCUAAAAACCUCUCUCCCAACUAAGAACAAUAUUAUUUUGAUUUAUGGUGGCAUCUGUUAUAAUUCACCAAAACCAGAGUAGACUUUUUUUUUCAAGAC